AGAACGAACGCUGGCGGCAUGCCUAAUACAUGCAAGUCGAACGAAGGCUUCGGCCUUAGUGGCGCACGGGUGCGUAACGCGUGGGAAUCUGCCCCUUGGUUCGGAAUAACAGUUGGAAACGACUGCUAAUACCGGAUGAUGACGAAAGUCCAAAGAUUUAUCGCCAAGGGAUGAGCCCGCGUAGGAUUAGCUAGUUGGUGAGGUAAAGGCUCACCAAGGCGACGAUCCUUAGCUGGUCUGAGAGGAUGAUCAGCCACACUGGGACUGAGACACGGCCCAGACUCCUACGGGAGGCAGCAGUAGGGAAUAUUGGACAAUGGGCGAAAGCCUGAUCCAGCAAUGCCGCGUGAGUGAUGAAGGCCUUAGGGUUGUAAAGCUUCUUUACCCGAGAUGAUAAUGACAGUAGUCGGAGAAGUAACGCCCGG
rnacentral:rRNA from 1 species